AUUGAACGCUGGCGGCAUGCUUUACACAUGCAAGUCGAACGGUAACAGGUUAAGCUGACGAGUGGCGAACGGGUGAGUAAUGCAUCGGAACGUGCCCGGUCGUGGGGGAUAACGCAGCGAAAGUUGCGCUAAUACCGCAUACGAUCUGAGGAUGAAAGCGGGGGACCGUAAGGCCUCGCGCGAUCGGAGCGGCCGAUGGCAGAUUAGGUAGUUGGGGGGGUAAAGGCUCACCAAGCCAACGAUCUGUAGCUGGUCUGAGAGGACGACCGGCCACACUGGGACUGAGACACGGCCCAGACUCCUACGGGAGGCAGCAGUGGGGAAUUUUGGACAAUGGGCGAAAGCCUGAUCCAGCAAUGCCGCGUGCAGGAAGAAGGCCUUCGGGUUGUAAACUGCUUUUGUACGGAGCGAAAAGGUCUCCUCUAAUACAGGGGGCUCAUGACGGUACCGUAAGAAUAAGCACCGGCUAACUACGUGCCAGCCGCCGCAGUAA
rnacentral:rRNA from 1 species